CUUACGUGAUUAUAUAACUGGCGCAGUCGGUAGGAUCUCGUUGGUUGUUGGCAAAAUUGGUUCGUUGUGUUCAAGAUAAAGGCAGGCCAGAAGCUCCUUGAAUUGUAUCGAGCAACAGAAUCAACCAGAAAACUUGCACAUGACUCAGCAGCCGAAUGAAUCGGACUUGACUUUCACCAGGAGAGUUCAACUAGCGGCUAGACAGUGCGAAUAUCCGGAAAGAAAGCAGUUUGAGAGCGCUCAGAAUGAUAAGUCGGAACGGAUCGCUAGCAGAUUUAAUCGACAAGGUUCGGGAAAUCGAAACGAUACGCCUGAACGAAGAAUACGUUUCUAGAAUGAAAGCAGUGGUGGUAUCAACUUUAGUUUCGGUGAAUGCAGGCAGGUGUUAUGAUGCAAAUUGUACGAUUUCUGGAUUUGGGGGUGAACGUGGUCGACGCCCUAUAAGAGGAGGAAUAGUCUGGCGUGGUUCAAACUCACAACUUCCGGAACGCUGUACUCGAUGCAAGAGCAUCUAUCAUUCAGCGGAAAAGUUUUCCGCAGUCAGCAUAAUAUGUCACAAUUGCGGUUGUGUAUGUCAUUUGCUUCGAGCUUGCAAUUUAACACUAACAACUAGAAAUAAAUUUCGCGUUGGGCUUGAGAGAUGCGAUUCUUGGAAAUAGAAUCAGUAGGAGCCAAACCGGAAGCGAAACUUGAAGAAGCGAUCCCGGAGACAAUCUCACUCAGUUUUAAGGAAAAGGGGAACAGUGAAGAAGCCCGUGUGAUGCAACGAUUUUAUUCACAGAAUAUAUCAGAAAUUUAAAGUUAAACAACCAUCGUGUGAUGGAGAAUCCUAUACAAGAAAUACAUGAACAGAAACAAUUUUCUAUUCCAACGAG